rnacentral:rRNA from 1 species
GACGAACGCUGGCGGCGUGCUUAACACAUGCAAGUCGUACGGUAAGGCCCUUUCGGGGGUACCCGAGUGGCGAACGGGUGAGUAACACGUGAGUAACCUGCCCACAACUUUGGGAUAACGCUAGGAAACUGGUGCUAAUACUGGAUAUGUGCUCCUGCUGCAUGGUGGGGGUUGGAAAGCUCCGGCGGUUGUGGAUGGACUCGCGGCCUAUCAGCUUGUUGGUGGGGUAGUGGCCUACCAAGGCGGCGACGGGUAGCCGGCCUGAGAGGGUGACCGGCCACAUUGGGACUGAGAUACGGCCCAGACUCCUACGGGAGGCAGCGGUGGGGAAUAUUGCACAAUGGGCGCAAGCCUGAUGCAGCAACGCCGCGUGCGGGAUGACGGCCUUCGGGUUGUAAACCGCUUUCAGCAGGGACGAAGCUUUUUGUGACGGUACCUGCAGAAGAAGCACCGGCUAACUACGUG